CCUCUAGUACGGUUAUUGACCGGAUGCGGACGUUAAUAACCACGAGGAGGAUACACUGAUUUGUUCAACGGAUAAUAUUUUUAUAACAAAUUAAAACCCAUGUACAGAAUAAUACGUUUAUUAUAAUUAAUAUCUGUGCAAUUACAUAAACAUACAUGUAUUAUUCUCUUCAGCGUUACUCAAUAAGACCGACACCAAUUAUUCUCAUUACCGUUCUCGGCUCGAAGCACUGGACGGAUUUAGGAAUAGUAGCAUCAGAUCACAAGAGCCAACACUGGGCAACUUUUGGUAGCCCAGCUUCUUCUAUAUAUAUUGAUCGGAUACGUAACUCAUCUGCGAGAAGCGUUCCGGCGCAGUACGUAGCGGUUCCCUGCACGCCCCCUACCCACUACAUUGCCCCCCGAGCCGUCCAAGGGGUCACCUUGAAUCGGCGCGGAAACCACGCAGCGGGGGAAGGGGGGUGCCACCGAUCCUACUUUUCAAUCAGAGGCCGGAUAGCCAAAGAUUUACAAGUAGGGCGUACUUUCCCUAGACCAAUUUUUAAAACAAAUAUCGAAAGAUGGAGAGACUCGGUUCAAAGAACCCCCUACUUUAAUUCUAAUUUCAUUAAAACAAUAAAAAAUUCUUAAUACUAAGUAUAAAAUAACAAAAAAUUGGCAAAAACGCCGGUCAAUUAAAAGAAAUAAAAAACAUUACAACAUAGUUAAAAAUAUCGACUGUACACAGCGCUAUAGUAGCGUCACGAUUACAAAAAAAUAGAAGUUGGCAGCAGUGGCCGAAAAUCAACAACAACAGCGUCGUGUUUGUAAACACGACGAUAAAAAAUGGUUGACAAUUCCAAAAUUUACAAUUUUUUAUCAAAUUUGAGUUUUUUACCCUACAAAUUCUCGCUUAAAUGCGGUAACUGCAAAGGACGAUGUUGUCGACGAUGUUUUUCGACGCUGGAUACGAUGACCGGCCACUCAACCGCAUAUUUCAGGAUGACUCAUCUCACUACUCAUUGCUGCUGGUAUUUUAUCAAUGGUGAUAAUUUCCAUAGUUCAAUUUGGAACCGAAGACUUUUCUCAAUUUGUUUGAAUUGAAUUUUGAUUUUUGCUCGGUAUCUACGGUUGCUUUGGUCGAACGUUACGAUGAAAUGAUUUUGGAUUUUGCCUUUUUCUUCUUCGAGCGUUUUUGCGAGGUGUUUUUUACGCAUAAAUAACAGGAGUUUUUCUAGCACGAAAUCCGCCGGAAAUACUUCGACCUUGUGCCUUGCUGGAAUUGUUCGCUGCGAUAAUACCGUGAAAGAACGGUUAAUUAUUGUCACCACAUUCACCGUCACCGGAGGUGUAAUGACGUGCACCCGUACCAUUUCUUGGUCUGAAACAGAAAACACAUUCAUCGUUCUGCGAGGUCUUCUUGACCUGCGUGAUGCACGAUUUGGAUAGCUCGACCCCCGAAGGUACUCGGCAUAAUUUUGUGGCGGUGGUUGAUUAUACGAUUCGCGAUAUUGGUCAGGCGGAUACCGAUUGCCUGCACUUUGCUGAUAGGUUUGGUGGUUGGUUUGUUGGCGAUUGGGCUGUCUGAACCUGUUACCCAUGUUCGGCUUGAACUUUCGCUUCAGUGGUCGUUGACCUUGCCCCCUGGGCAUUUGGUGCCUUUGUUUUGGCUUUGGGUGAUCGUAUUUCGGUGGCUGUCGCUAGCCGAGUUAUUUUCCGAAGAUUCUGACGAUGGAGCCAGCUUUUUUCCGGUAGCCAGUUCGAGCUCGCGAAACAAGUAUUCGACUAAGUCGUUGGAAGAUGAAGUGAAACUUGGUGGCGAAUACCCUGACGACGAUUUCACCGGUCGCUGUUGUAUUUUAUCAUCGUCGGAGUCGAACAAUGAUUCGACGUGUUUGUUCUGGUUUGCAGUUAACGACGGCGAGACAUUUUUGGCAGAUACCUUCGGCAAUGGUGCUGGUGACUUCGGAGGUUUAGCAGUUUUGGCGGUUGCUUUUGUCGUUGGUUCGGAUUUUUUCUCGGUGGCUUUCGAUUGUUUCUCGUUGCGCUUCGCUUUUUUGGUGCGCUUAGACUUCUUUUUAGUUGAUUUGGAGGAGAGGUACCGAUGAUUUUAGGUAUUUUAAACUCAGAAAUCUUACCUUCGUUCUCGACAACGGGUAUCUCUUCGAAUGAAGCACCAGCGAUUUGCAUCGAAUGGCGGCGGAUCGGCGGCGAAUUUUGGGGCGAAU